rnacentral:rRNA from 1 species
GACGAACGCUGGCGGCGUGCUUAACACAUGCAAGUCGAACGGUAAGGCCCUUCGGGGUACACGAGUGGCGAACGGGUGAGUAACGCGUGAGUAACCUGCCCUUGACUCUGGGAUAACAGAUGGAAACGUCUGCUAAUACCGGAUACUCAGCCUUGUGGGCAUCCGCAGGGUUGGAAAGCUCCGGCGGUCAAGGAUGGACUCGCGUCCUAUCAGCUAGUUGGUGGAGUAACGGCCUACCAAGGCGACGACGGGUAGCCGGCCUGAGAGGGCGACCGGCCACAUUGGGACUGAGAUACGGCCCAGACUCCUACGGGAGGCAGCAGUGGGGAAUAUUGCACAAUGGGCGAAAGCCUGAUGCAGCAACGCCGCGUGCGGGAUGACGGCCUUCGGGUUGUAAACCGCUUUCAGCAGGGACGAAGCGCAAGUGACGGUACCUGCAGAAGAAGCACCGGCUAACUACGUGCCAGCAGCCGCAGUAACAC